rnacentral:misc_RNA from 1 species
AGUAACUAAAAACGUUAAAAACAAGUACAGUUAUUUGGAGCUUGUCUCCAAAUAGAUGUCUUUAUCUGGAGAUGUUAUGGGAGCUAACUCCUCCGGUCUUGUUGGUUGGCAUGCACCCGGUUUAUAACUACGUCAUCAAGCCUGCGUCAUCAAGAAGAAACGCACAGAGCUCCUCCUUUUUAUCUGGGAAGCCGAACAAACAGGUCACGUUUUGUAAACUCUCAUUAAAAUUAUGUUGAAAAAAUUGUUAUUUACAUGUUUACAGUACAGUAUAUUAAAAUGAUUUUAAAUGUUUGCAAAAUACGAUGGUUCAUUACAUGGAAUAUAUAAUUUUGAAAAUUUGAGUCAAAACAGGUUUUUAGACUAGCUAGUGUCGUUAAACUAGAAUGGUAGAGCUAUUUCAUUUUAUAUUUUAACAAACUAAAUUGUAAAAUUAUUUGUGAUAGACAUAACCUCUAGCAAAUUAAAUAUUUUAUUCAAGCAUGCCAAGACAACGAAGGAAACGUAUUACAACUGUGACUGGCAGACCCAGGCGUAAUGCACGGCGACAAGAAGUAGCCACAGAGUUACAGAGGUUAGCGUCAGCUACUCCACAGUCCGCUGAGUAGUGCCUUAAUUCAGACCCAGCUUCUACGGUGGGAACACCUCAAACUGCGCAUACUGUUACAGCUGCCAAUUUACAAUCGGGGACUUGUAAUUCUCGUGAAUGCAGCGAUCAGCUACAAGGCAGCUCUGAUUCUAUAGUCAAUCCCACGCAACAAUUCUCGUGAAUGCAGCGAUCAGCUACAAGGCAGCUCUGAUUCUAUAGUCAAUCCCACGCAACAUGGUUACUCAAACAUCGGAAACUCUUACACUCCCGAGACUGUCAUAUCAGUACCUAGUGACACCUUCCAGUAUGCAACGUCGACACAAUUGCCUAGUAACCAAAUGGCAUGUUCUCAGAAUUUCAAAUGUCAUGGAAACGCACCAUCUGCCGGAUAUGUUAAUACUAUCUCACAACAAACUAAUCCGGGCAAUUACACUUCCGGUCAAUAUAUAUCGUCGGAACAUUUGAUGAGUACCCAACCAGGAACAGUACCCUAUGCGACAUGGGCACAGUUGCCUAGUAAUCCAAUGACAGGUUCUCAAAGUUUCGGUUGCCAUGGAAACGCAUCAUUUGUCGGAUAUGCUAAUACGAACACGCAACAAAUUAACUCGGACAUUAACACUUUUGGUCAAUAUGUAUCAUCGGACCAUUUGACAAGUAGAUCUAUCCAAUCAGGGACAGCAUCUGGCAUGGAUCACAAUGUAAACGCUAUUUCAGAUGCAAGUGUUACAUCAGCUGUGAAUGUCCAACAAACAGUGUACCCCUACCUUAGCAACUCUGGGCCCGUUAUGCAACCCACUAGCAAUGUUCCCGCACAUAGUACCCAGCAAUACAUGGCUCAACCACUGUCGGAGGCUAAUUCACAUAUGUCAGAACAACAGACACUGUAGAACAAACAGAUGGGGCGCUCUAAAGGCAUUUAUUCUUUCCAUAAAACACUGAAAAAUAUCAGAGGGGCUUCGUCAGAUUUACAACAUUUAACAUUCAGAGAAGAUAUUACGUUUAACUGUGCUUUACUUACUUCUCGUAAACGUGAUUCAAUGUGAGAGCUUAAAGAGCGUAUUCCUUCGAUGACAGAUGGUAAAGACGUUUCAUAGGCCAGAUUAACAGCAGGGGAAUCGUCGUCGUUUAGAAAACAAGGCGGUGUUUUACUAGCUUGUCUUUCGAUGGAGGCACCACCUACCACUGCUACAAAUAUACCUGAAACGAAACAUGUAACUCAGAAGUGGACAAUCGUUAUAAUACUAAUGAAACAUAGGCAUAAGAGAAAAAUGGAAUUAAAUAACCAUAUAUAUUUCCUUUUUUAUACGCUAUGAUUCAAAUAUGGUUUCGCAAUGUCUUGUCUGCAAUUAUAUUCUGACUUAAAUCUUAAACAUUUAUUUUGCUUUUAAGAAAGAAGAAGACAAUUUGCAAAGCUAUAAACGAAUUGAUGUCUUAAAUUAAUUGAUCCUUUGAAAUAUUUCAUACAAACUACUAUUAAAUGCAUUCCGACUGUUUGAAAUUUUAACUUAAAACGACUUAAUUAAAGUUUAGGUGACUUUAUAUACUAGCCACAGAACUGUGUUUGACAUUAGUGGAAACGUAGGUUGAGGGUAUCUGUUGUAUCAAAUGGGUGUAUUUAUUGUUUGUAUACCACUAGAAUGUAUAGCAAAGUAAUUCACCUUCAUACUCCAGACAUGUGGGAAUAACCGUUUGUUUGGAAUGUAAACAAGGAAUGGAGUAGGUAGGCAAAAACCUCCAUAAAACACCUUUAUUCUAUCUGUAACAUCUGACUUGCUGUUUAUAUGUUUUUAAAUAUUAAUCUACAUACGGAAGUCGUGUCGGCUUAUUUUGAAUGCUAGCAGAUAAUUCCAGUCACAAUUGCAUUUCCAUGAAAGUGUGAAUAAUUGAAACAAUUAAACAAACAAAAAGGC